UAAUGGUGGGUGAUCAUUGUGAUGGGAGUCAUCAUCCCUGGAGGUGUUCCAGAACCUGGAGAUCAGGCACCUGAGGACAGAGAAAUGCAGAACUAAAAGAAGUCUUGAAAUGUUUCAUCACCAGUUAGUGCAAAUAAAUAGUGAUCAGAAGGCAGACAGAUGCACAGCAGCAAAAUGAUAUGCAGGCGCCUGCGGUUCCAGCCAUUGGCCUCUCAACCUAUGAAUGUGGAACAGACGAAGCUCCCCAGCACACAUGAAGUUUGCAUUUAGAGUCAGAGAAGAGUGCAUGGGAGAUCCCUGGAAACUGAAGGUAGAGAUGAAAAGGUACAAGAUGCCUUCCACUAGCCUCCAUCAGAGAUAUAGCAGCCCAGCUCCAACAAAGUAAGCAGGCAGCACACUAAGUGAAUGCUACGUUCAUGAUGCUCUGAGGACACUGGAUCCAUCAGACCAUUAUCAAAUAUACAAAACCACUAUGUGCAAGAGAGCAGUACACACAGUGAACUACAAGAGAUGCACUGAAUAAAUCCAUCCAUGA
rnacentral:lncRNA from 1 species